AUAUUGUGCGUUGAGUGCAGGUGAGAAGCUGCGUUCAGGUUCGAGCCGAGCGAAGCGAGACAGCGUUGCGCUUGUCGCAACGACCCCAAGGGCGAGGGCAAAGCCCUAGUCAUCCUGCACGACCCACCA
rnacentral:sRNA from 1 species